UACUAGGAUGGUUGACCUCCCGG
rnacentral:siRNA from 1 species